UCAAUAUUUUUGACCAAUUUAAAUUGAUUCGAUCCACUAUACUUUUGCUACACAACUCUGAUCAAUAUCCUCCGAAUUUAUUAAUUGACUUUCUGUCAAAAUGUAAAUCUUGAUUGUAAAUUGAAUGAUAUAAAAUUUUGUCUCAAGUAGAGCCAAAAAAAACUCUUAAGUCUCAUCCCCAAAUAUAUUUUACAGAAUUGUAUAUGACUCAUAAAAUAACAUAUAGAAAAA
rnacentral:lncRNA from 1 species